GACGAACGCUGGCGGCGUGCUUAACACAUGCAAGUCGAACGGAAAGGCCCCUUUGGGGGUCCUCGAGUGGCGAACGGGUGAGUAACACGUGAGUAACCUGCCCUUGACUUCGGGAUAACUUCAGGAAACUGGGGCUAAUACCGGAUAGGAAUCCUUGCUGCAUGGGGGGGGGUGAAAAGCUUCGGCGGUUUUGGGUGGACUCGCGGCUUAUCAGCUUGUUGGUGGGGUAGUGGCUUACCAAGGCGUUGACGGGUAGCCGGCCUGUGAGGGCGAGCGGCCACAUUGGGACUGAGAUACGGCCCAGACUCCUACGGGAGGCAGCAGUGGGGAAUAUUGCACAAUGGGCGGAAGCCUGAUGCAGCAACGCCGCGUGCGGGAUGACGGCCUUCGGGUUGUAAACCGCUUUCAGCAGGGGCGAAGCUUGUGGUGACGGUACCUGCAGAAGAAGCACCGGCUAACUACGUG
rnacentral:rRNA from 1 species